rnacentral:ncRNA from 1 species
ACCAAGGCGACGAUGUCUAGGGGCUCUGAGAGGAGAAUCCCCCACACUGGUACUGAGACACGGACCAGACUCCUACGGGAGGCAGCAGUAAGGAAUAUUGGUCAAUGGGCGGAAGCCUGAACCAGCCAUGCCGCGUGCAGGAUGACUGCCCUAUGGGUUGUAAACUGCUUUUGUCAGGGAAUAAACCUUUCUACGUGUAGAAAGCUGAAUGUACCUGAAGAAUAAGGAUCGGCUAACUCCGUGCCAGCAGCCGCGGUAAUACGGAGGAUCCAAGCGUUAUCCGGAUUUAUUGGGUUUAAAGGGUGCGUAGGCGGCC